rnacentral:lncRNA from 1 species
CUCGCAUGGGAUGGGACGACCCGGGAUGGCUGGGAUGACCCGGGAUGGCACGGGAUGCAGGCGGGAAGGGCAGGCGCUUGCACCGUGCCCAGCCAUGCCGCGGGCUGCAGCGGGACCGCGGCACCCGGACAUGGGGACAGACACCGGCCCCGAAGGCAGCACGUCCCCUGGGCCGCAGCCCCGUGCCCGGGGCCGGUUUUAGCUGCCGGGAAUGCUCUGUGGCAACCGGAUCCCCAGCCCGGCUGAUCCCCGGGCCCCACCGGCGGCCGGGGCCGGCUGUGCUGCCGAAUUCCUCAGCGGGGCUUGGGCUAAAUUUACUUGCUAUCGCCAAGGAGAGGGGGGCUCCCGGCCGACCCCCCGCUGGCAGUGGGGCCAGGCUUCUCCUUCACAUCCCUAACGCAGCUUGGAGGCUGAAAGGGUUUCGGGCCGCAUCUCGCAGCUUUGUCGGCUGGUGCGCGGGGCUGCCUCCGUCCCGCUCCGCUCCGUGGGGUACCAGGGACACGGGGCCAACGCGGGGCCUCGGAGCUGCGCGGGGCGGGAUGCUCUCGCCCUGGGGCCGAUGCAGCGCGACGGGAGCUGAGCUUGGCCGCCCAAAGCCCCGCGUGCCCGUGUGUACAUAUGCAUGCGUGUGCAUGCGUGUGUGUACGCACGUGUGUCUGCAUGUGCAUGCAUGUGUGUGUGUGCACGUGUGUCUGCAUGUGCAUGCGUGUGUGUGCCUGUGGGUCCGUGUGUGCAUGCGUGUGCAUAUGCAUGUGCACGUGUGUCCAUGUGUGCAUGCAUGUGCGUGUGUGCACGUGUCCGUGUGUGCGUGCACGGCUGUGUGUGUGUGCACGGCUGUGUGUGCAUGCACAGGCGUGUGUGCGUGUGCGUGUGCGUGUGCGUGUGCGUGUGCACGCAGAGACCCACCUAGGGGAACCGUACACCCGAGGAGGCUCACGCGUGCGGCAGGAGCUGCUCGCCCAGCCCCACACUCACGUGUGCCUGCGCUGACCGCUGGCUGUGCCCCAUGGAGGACCCCCCCCCGCCAUGUCCCCCUCGGGGAUGGGGGCACGGCCCCAGGCCCCGCUCCUCGCCUCCCCGCUCUCCCUAUCGCCUUCCCGGCAGCUGUCCCUCCGCCGGCUCCGGUUUCCCUGCGGAGCCGCAGCUGAGCCCGCCGGUCACGGGCAGCGGGGGGGCGGCGGGGCGGCUUCCCUCCUGCCCUCCCCGCGCCUUGCCGGGAUGCCCGGUUCGGGGGGGGGCU